GAAGAGUUCUCUGACUUCUAUGUUUCAGAUGAAGGAAUCAUUGUAAUAUGACAAUGGUCAGGGAGUGCCCUCCUCUCAUGCCCAGAAUUGACCUACAGUCCUCAAACCAAUAAGCUCAAGCCCAGAUGAUUACCACCUACAUGAAAGACGGUGAUCCCACAGUUUCCAAGUUUACAUCUCCUUUCUUCAAAAGAGGCACUAUUACAUGAGGCUAAGAAUAGACUCCAGAGUCAGACAGAGGAUAAAGUGCCUCCCUUCAGCAGAUUGAGUAGGCGGUGAGCCCUAUUCUGGAGAAAAAAAGUGAAUAUAAAGACUGGGAAUAUCAAUCAGAGAAAGACCUCUCCUCAAGAAGACUGGUCCAGG